UUGUAGAUGAUGUAUUGAAAGGAAAAAUGGUAUUUUCAAGUUUGAUGCCCCCUUUUUUUUCUCCUACAGUAAUUAGUGAAUGCCAAAGACAGCAACUGAAGUCUGUGAGCUACUCCUCUCGCUAUGCUCUAGGACUCUUUUAUGAAGCUGGCACGAAGAUUGAUGUCUCUUGGGCUGGGCAGUACAUCACCAGUAAUCCCUGCAUACGCUUCGUCUCCAUCGAUAAUAAGAAGCGCAAUAUAGAGUCAGCAGAAAUCGGGCCUUCACUGGUGAUUCAUACCACAGUCCCGUUUGGAGUUACAUACUUAGAACACAGCAUUGAGGAUGUACAGGAGUUAAUCCUUCAGCAGCUGGAAAACAUUUUGCCAGGUUUGCCUCAGCCAGUUGCUACUAAAUGCCACAAAUGGAGACAUUCACAGGUUACAAGUGGUGCAGCCAAGUGUCCUGGCAGGAUGAUUCUUCAUCUUGAACCUUUUCUUGUGUGUGGAGGGGAUGGAUUUACUCAGUCCAACUUUGAUGGCUGCAUCACUUCUGCCCUGUGUCUUCUGGAAGCUUUAAGAAAUCAUAUUUAGUACCUGGGUUCUUAUUCUCUACAUUUACUUCUGAUUUUUAUUGCACAAUUUUCUGUUAUUGAUUAUUUUGUUGAGAUAAAUUACUGGAAAAUUGGUCUUCAUUGUCAUUUUUUCAUACGGAGCAUAAAAUCAAUCUUAUAACUUUGAUAUAUUCCAUAUUAAAAUGAAAAUAUCUUUUACAUUAUACCUUUCCCUACUUUUCUGAAUUGCCAAUCUUCGUUGAAGAAAAAGUGGUACUUAACAUUCAAAUAUAGGCUGCCCCAAAAGUUGUAUUAAAAUCAAAAGUAGGGGUUCAUGUUAUUAUUUAUCCCUUUAAAAACUUCAAUUCUGAAUAAAGAUAAUCAUUAUCUAACCCUCAUUUUAAGUCUUCAAAUAUGUCCUUGGCUCAACAUUUUUUCAAAUUAAUGAACUACAAGAUUUCUCCAAACUGUGGAAAACACAUUGUAAUUUUUGUGUUUCGUUUAUUUUCCAAGUUAUUAGAUGUCUUGGGGUUGUGGUUUGUAUGCUGACUUGACAAAGAAAAUUCCCUGCAGACUUUCAGUAAAUAGCAAGAUUCAAUUUGAUUUUCCGAGACACAUAGUAUUGUAUAAGCUUAAAACAGAUUCCAGUCUUAAUAUGAAAGAUAAAAAUCAAAUAGAAACUGAAAAAGAACAUAUCUGUCUUUAACUUAUGUUGUCUCCUAUAGCUGUUUCUGUUACCUUUGCAUGCUCUGAAAUGUGUGCCUUCACAUUUAGACUAUGUCAAAUUUAAUGAAUUUUUUGUGUCCAUCCAAAAGUUGACUAAACCGGAAAAUAGAUGCACUUUAAAUAGUUUAGUUUUGCCAAUUAGUGGUUCAAUGUAUCACCCAUAUUUGCCCAUGACUCAACCCAUGACUUGCAGGCUAGAGAAAAAUUGAUCCCCAACCUUUUAAAGCAAACUACCUGUUGCUAAUUUGAAAAGCAAAGUGAUGAGAUUUGAAAGGAAGGAAACUGGUGCAACCUCCCAACAUUAAAAAAAAAAAGUUCAACAAAAUAUUCCUUACUUGGUAGUGGCUGAAGAUUCAAAUGUACAUGUCCGUUGUCAUAUGUACACAUACAUGCACAGGUGAAACUUGCUUAUGGAGCUGUAAAAGGAGUUUUAUGUUCUUAUGACAUAUUAUUAGAUAUUUUCUUUUAGCAAUAAAUUGCUAUAAAAACUAAAAUGCCUACAUGUAGUUAAUGUCACCUAUUUUGAAAGCAGAGAAAUGAAAACAAGUAUACAAUUUCUAGUCUAAAACAGUGAAAAGUGUGGGGUUCCUUCAUCAUUGUAAUCUAUGUUUGGUUAACAUUUAUCUUUACUUUGAUUUCACCCUUAAAAUAUGGUAGAGAAAUCUUCAAAUGUACUCUUUUGUUUUUAGGAAAUAUAACUCUAGAGCUAUUUGAAUGAAAGUAUCCCAAAACUUUAACAGCACUGCUAUAUUUCAUGAGUGUAUAUUCUACAAAAGAAAAAGAUUUAUAAAGAGGGACGUGAGUUCCUUAGAGAAAGUAUUCCUUUAAGCCAUUAUUAAUAAUUUUUUGUUUAUUCAUUCUAAGCAUGUUGCCUUACUAAUUCUGUAUAUUUUUGUAAGCCCUCAACAAUAUGAGAAAAAUGUAACACUCCUAAAC
ensembl:lincRNA